UGUUGUCUCAGGCUGUGUGAAUCAUGUCUGCUUGGUUUUAUCACACCCAGCAACAGGCCACAUCAGCACUAACUGGAGGAAAAAGCAGGCACCAGUUCAACACUGAAAGAAGCUCGACUGGGAGAGCCUCUAACUAACAGCAGACCCUGCACCUGCUGGAAGGCAGUGCUAAAAUCCCACUAUGAAUCAGAUUGCUGGGACUCAUUUCCUGCCCUCUCCACUACUCAACUGUGUGACCAAGCAAAUUUCGAUGCCUGCUUCUGUCGAGCCUGGAUAACACUAGUACCUAUUUUAUAAAUUGCUACCAGGAUGAACUCUCAAGUAGAUAAUUCAUCUGAGGUGCAAGCCAAGCCGUCCUGUCAAGAAUCUACAUAGAAGAGUGAGAUUUGAUCUUCUUCCUGCUUUGAAUUCCAACAUUCACAUAUUUUAUGAUGCUGAAGACUAGAUUCUUUCAUGCCAUUAUCUUCACCGAGGAUUUUAUUUCAAAAUUUAUUAUCAUGCUGACAAUAGAGCCAAAAAAUCCACAGAAGCAAAGGCGGCUUAAACCCAAUUCGUUUUCUGGGCCAUCAUUGUCUAAGAAGAGGGGGACUGAACUUGGGAUAACCUUAAAGCAAAGCAAAGCAAAGCAAAGCAAAACAAAAACAACAACAAAACGAUAUCUCACAUCGGCAAUUGGUAAGUGCUCUAGAAACAGGUGACCUCCACACAAGUCGAAGAACAGUGCCAAUGUGGCCAAUGUUAGUUAACAUUCCUAGUUAACA